UACGUAGGGUGCGAGCGUUAAUCGGAAUCACUGGGCGUAAAGGGCGCGUAGGCGGCCUGGUAAGUAGGGGGUGAAAUCCUGCGGCUUAACCGCAGGGCUGCCUUCUAAACUGUCAGGCUUGAGCACGGUAGAGGCAGAUGGAAUUCCCGGUGUAGCGGUGGAAUGCGUAGAGAUCGGGAAGAACAUCAGUGGCGAAGGCGGUCUGCUGGGCCGUUGCUGACGCUGAGGCGCGACAGCGUGGGGAGCAAACAGG
rnacentral:rRNA from 1 species